UGAUCGACCGUCAUCUCCAACUAUUGCUAAUCCGGACACUAACACUACAGCCAAGAAGAAAGGAAGGGGACCUACUACAAAUCCAAAUGCGAAAAAGAGAAAAGAGG